rnacentral:lncRNA from 10 species
AGAGUUUUGCCAGAAACCCUUGAGUCUGGAGUGGUACGGCUGGAGUCCAGAUUGCAGUCUGUGGAGGAGUGGACAGGAGGCAACAAAAGCAAAUAUCGAAAAGGAGUAGAACAGUUGGAAUUUAUAAUCUUCCUUCUGAACUAACAGACCAAGAAAUUCUCGAGUUCUCUUCAGAGACCAACUGGGGAUCAACAAUUCAAUUUAAUUCUGACACCCAAGGAAGAAGAGAGUGCACCUGAUGUAGUAGCCACUGUAAGAACUGUGUUGGAGAAUGAUCCGAUUGGCCAGUGCAAGAGGGAUUGCAGAGAAGAAGAAACCACAAGCAGAAAAACCAGAUGAGGAAAUUAAGCUAAAUAUUAACUAUCUCAAGAAUAUUCCCAGAAGUGACUGCUAAAUUUAAAUCCCUGCUCACAAUGAAAUACUGUACAGCAGGGGUUCUCAAACUUUUUGGUCUUAGGACCCUUACAGCCUUAAAAAUUAUUGAGAACUCCAAAGAACUUUCAAUUAUGUGGGUCAUAACUACUGAUACUUACUGUAUUAUAACUUGAAACUGAAAAAAUUUUUAAAUAUUUAUAAACAUUUAAAAAUAAUAAACCCAUUGUAAGCUAAUGUAAAUAGC